GACGAACGCUGGCGGCGUGCUUAACACAUGCAAGUCGAACGGAAAGGCUCCAGCUUGCUGGAGUACUCGAGUGGCGAACGGGUGAGUAACACGUGGGUGAUCUGCCCUGCACUUCGGGAUAAGCCUGGGAAACUGGGUCUAAUACCGGAUAGGACCGCACUUUGGUGUGUGUGGUGGAAAGGUUUUUCUGGUGUGGGAUGAGCUCGCGGCCUAUCAGUUUGUUGGUGGGGUAAUGGCCUACCAAGACGGCGACGGGUAGCCGGCCUGAGAGGGUGGACGGGCACAUUGGGACUGAGAUACGGCCCAGACUCCUACGGGAGGCAGCAGUGGGGAAUAUUGCACAAUGGGGGAAACCCUGAUGCAGCGACGCCGCGGGGGGGAUGAAGGCCUUCGGGUUGUAAACUCCUUUCGCUAGGGACGAAGCUUUUUGUGACGGUACCUGGAGAAGAAGCACCGGCUAACUACGUG
rnacentral:rRNA from 1 species